GGGUUGUGAGGUUAAGCGACUAAGCGUACACGGUGGAUGCCCUGGCAGUCAGAGGCGAUGAAGGACGUGCUAAUCUGCGAUAAGCGUCGGUAAGGUGAUAUGAACCGUUAUAACCGGCGAUUUCCGAAUGGGGAAACCCAGUGUGAUUCGUCACACUAUCAUUAACUGAAUCCAUAGGUUAAUGAGGCGAACCGGGGGAACUGAAACAUCUAAGUACCCCGAGGAAAAGAAAUCAACCGAGAUUCCCCCAGUAGCGGCGAGCGAACGGGGAGCAGCCCAGAGCCUGAAUCAGUGUGUGUGUUAGUGGAAGCGUCUGGAAAGGCGUGCGAUACAGGGUGACAGCCCCGUACACAAAAAUGCACAUGCUGUGAGCUCGAUGAGUAGGGCGGGACACGUGGUAUCCUGUCUGAAUAUGGGGGGACCAUCCUCCAAGGCUAAAUACUCCUGACUGACCGAUAGUGAACCAGUACCGUGAGGGAAAGGCGAAAAGAACCCCGGCGAGGGGAGUGAAAAAGAACCUGAAACCGUGUACGUACAAGCAGUGGGAGCACAGAGCAAUCUGUGUGACUGCGUACCUUUUGUAUAAUGGGUCAGCGACUUAUAUUCUGUAGCAAGGUUAACCGAAUAGGGGAGCCGAAGGGAAACCGAGUCUUAACUGGGCGUUAAGUUGCAGGGUAUAGACCCGAAA
rnacentral:rRNA from 1 species